rnacentral:rRNA from 1 species
UACGUAGGGCGCAAGCGUUAUCCGGAAUUAUUGGGCGUAAAGAGCUCGUAGGCGGUUUGUCGCGUCUGCCGUGAAAGUCCGGGGCUCAACUCCGGAUCUGCGGUGGGUACGGGCAGACUAGAGUGAUGUAGGGGGAGACUGGAAUUCCUGGUGUAGCGGUGAAAUGCGCAGAUAUCAGGAGGAACACCGAUGGCGAAGGCGGUUGCCUGGGGCUUUGCUGACGCUGAUGCGCGAAAGCGUGGGGAGCGAUCCGG